rnacentral:rRNA from 1 species
GACACGACCGUACCGCAAACCGACACUGGUGCCGAGAUGAGUAUUCUAAGGCGCUUGAGAGAACUCAGGAGAAGGAACUCGGCAAAUUGACACCGUAACUUCGGAAGAAGGUGUGCCUUUAGUAGGUGAACCAUUUACUUGGGGAGCCCAAUGAGGCUGCAAAAAAUCGGUGGCUGCAACUGUUUAUUAAAAACACAGCACUCUGCUAAGACGAAAGUCGACGUAUAGGGUGUGACGCCUGCCCGGUGCUGGAAGAUUAAAUGAUGGGGUGCAAGCUCUUGAUUGAAGUCCCAGUAAACGGCGGCCGUAACAAUAACGGUCCUAAGGUAGCGAAAUUCCUUGUCGGGUAAGUUCCGACCUGCACGAAUGGCGUAAUGAUGGCCACACUGUCUCCUCCUGAGACUCAGCGAAGUUGAAAUGUCUGUGAUGAUGCAAUCUCCCCGCGGAAAGACGGAAAGACCCCAUGAACCUUUACUGUAGCUUUGUAUUGGACUUUGAACAGAUCUGUGUAGGAUAGGUGGGAGGCUUUGAAGUGUGGUCGCUAGAUCGCAUGGAGCCAACGUUGAAAUACCACCCUGGUGUGUUUGAGGUUCUAACCUAGGUCCAUUAUCUGGAUCGGGGACAGUGCAUGGUAGGCAGUUUGACUGGGGCGGUCUCCUCCCAAAGUGUAACGGUGGAGUUCGAAGGUACGCUAGGUACGGUCGGACAUCGUGCUAAUAGUGCAAUGGCAUAAGCGUGCUUAACUGCGAGACUGACAAGUCGAGCAGAUGCGAAAGCAGGACAUAGUGAUCCGGUGGUUCUGUAUGGAAGGGCCAUCGCUCAACGGAUAAAAGGUACUCUGGGGAUAACAGGCUGAUACCGCCCAAGAGUUCAUAUCGACGGCGGUGUUUGGCACCUCGAUGUCGGCUCAUCUCAUUCUGGGGCUGUAGCCGGUCCCAAGGGUAUGGCUGUUCGCCAUUUAAAGAGGUACGUGAGCUGGGUUUUAAAACGUCGUGAGACAGUUUGGUCCCUAUCUUCCGUGGGCGCUGCAGAUUUGAGGAAGCCUGCUCCUAGUACGAGAGGACCGGAGUGGACGAACCUCUGGUGUAUCGGUUGUCACGCCAGUGGCAUUGCCGAGUAGCUAAGUUCGGAAGAGAUAACCGCUGAAAGCAUCUAAGCGGGAAACUCGUUUCAAGAUUAGAUCUGCCGGGGCCUUGAGCCCCCUAAAGAGUCGUUCAAGACCAGGACGUUGAUAGGUCAGGUGUGGAAGUG